rnacentral:rRNA from 1 species
CCUACGGGUGGCAGCAGUGAGGAAUAUUGGUCAAUGGGCGAGAGCCUGAACCAGCCAAGUCGCGUGAGGGAGUACUGCCCUAUGGGUUGUAAACCUCUUUUGUCGGGGAGCAAAAGCCGGACGUGUCCGGCUGUGAGAGUACACGAAGAAAAAGCAUCGGCUAACUCCGUGCCAGCAGCCGCGGUAAUACGGAGGAUGCGAGCGUUAUCCGGAUUUAUUGGGUUUAAAGGGUGCGCAGGCGGAUUUUUAAGUCAGCGGUAAAAUCGUGGGGCUCAACCCCAUCCAGCCGUUGAAACUGGGGAUCUAGAGUGUGCGAGAGGUAUGCGGAAUGCGUGGUGUAGCGGUGAAAUGCAUAGAUAUCACGCAGAACCCCGAUUGCGAAGGCAGCAUACCGGUGCACAACUGACGCUCAGGCACGAAAGCGUGGGUAUCGAACAGGAUUAGAUACCCUUGUAGUC